CAGGUGGGUACCCCUGUACCCGGCUCCUUCUUUAAUUUAGCAAACAUCAGUGGCAUCGUGCUAGAAGAUAAAGCAUGAAGAAUGAAGACUUGAUCUUUUUUCUCCAAGAAGUUUAUAAGUGAAUGGAAGAGAAAACCAGAUCAUUGUAAUUACUAACCUGGGCAGCAUGAACACACAGGAACCAGGGACCACAGAGGGUUGGCUGGGAAGAAUUCACAGUGUCACAUUUCUAGAAGGGGGGGCUUGAAUGAGGUUAUUCAUUUUCACUCAUCACUUGCCGCAUGUCCAUUCCCUGUUCUACAUUUGCCACUGAGAAUAGCAGCCUAAUAUAUACACAAUUAAUAAAGAAGACAAGUAUUAAAUAAGUUAUUAAUUGCAAGCAUAAUGAAUGUUGGAAAAAAGAAAUGCAACUAUCACGAGAAUGUGAAACUGGGAAGUCAGUGUCAAGGAUGAGGGAAACUACAUAGAAGAUUUAAACUGAGAUGGGAAAAUGGGCAGAAAUAUUGGCAUAGGAUAAGCGUGUUCCUGCAGAGCAUGGUGGUGCACGCCCGUAAUCCCAGUAAUUUAGGUUCCACCCAGCUCCGGAAGCUGAGACAGGAGGAUAGAGAGUGCAAAGCCAGCCUCAGCAAAGGCAAGGCGCUAAGCAAUUCAGUGAAACCCUGUCUCUAAAAAAGAAAAAAAAUACAAAAUAGGGCUGGGGAUUUGGCUUAGUGGUUGAGUGCCUCUGAGUUCAGUCCCCCGUACCAAAAAAAAAAAAAAAAAAGAGUGUUCCUGAGGAGAGAAUUGAGAAUUGUGUGUUCAUUUGCUCAGUGUGAAAAAAAAAAAAAAAACAUGAUUUGACAUGUUCAAAAACUGAAAGAAAUCUAAUGUGGCCAGAGCAUAUAGAGAAGGGACAGCAGCUACAAGAAAUCAGGAAGAGACCAGAAAGUUGAUCACACAGAUAUGUCAGCCUUGUUACCAUUCAGGAACUUUAUCCUGAAGGUAUAGGGAGCUACUGCUGUGUUGGUCAUUGUGUAAUUGGACAUGUGUUGGAAAAGCCAAAACUGAAAGCAGGAGAUCCGGCAGGAACCCUUGGAUGAGUCAAGGUGAGAAGUGGUGGUGGCUUGGCAUAAGAAGGAGACAGGAGUGAAGAGAGCUGAUGUGUGGGAGGCAGACAUGGACUUGGUGAUCAAUCAGCUGUACAAGGUGAGAGUAAGAAAAAAGUCAAGAUGGAUCUUAAGUGUCUGAGUUGGGAAAUUGGUGUGUCAUUAACCAAGGGAAUUUGGAGAGAGGCAGGUUUGGAGGAAGAGGAGUGAACUAAGUCUUUUGGACCCAUGAAAUUUAGUUCAAGCAAGAUAUUUAAGUGGGGAUUUCCAAUAAGAAGUAGAUUAUAGAAGCCCAAAGGUUGAGAAAUGGGUGGAACCUAAAGAUUAAGACAUCAUUAGGGAGUGACUGAGAGGGUAAGUAGAAUGUGAA
rnacentral:lncRNA from 1 species